rnacentral:miRNA from 10 species
CUGUUCCUCCCUUUUGUGUUUUUUGUUGUUUUCUUUAGUCAAACUUUUGUUAAAACUGAAGCAGACAAAUACAUACAAACAUCACAAACACAUGAAGCUGACAAAGACAAACAACAUGCAUG